rnacentral:rRNA from 1 species
UACGGAGGAUGCAAGCGUUAUCCGGAAUGAUUGGGCGUAAAGCGUCCGCAGGUGGCAAUGUAAGUCUGCUGUCAAAGCGUCUGGCUCAACCAGAUAAAGGCAGUGGAAACUACAUAGCUAGAGUAAGGUAGGGGUAGAGGGAAUUCCUGGUGUAGCGGUGAAAUGCGUAGAGAUCAGGAAGAACACCGGUGGCGAAAGCGCUCUGCUGGACCUUAACUGACACUGAGGGGCGAAAGCUAGGGGAGCGAACGGG